rnacentral:rRNA from 1 species
GGGCCGCACAAGCGAGGAACAUGUGGUUUAAUUCGAUGAUACGCGAGGAACCUUACCCGGGCUUGAAUUGCUAGCGACGGUUACUGGAGACAGUUUCCUUCCUUCGGGACGUUAGUGAAGGUGCUGCAUGGUUGUCGUCAGCUCGUGCCGUAAGGUGUCGGCUCAAGUGCCAUAACGAGCGCAACCCUUGCCGUUAGUUGCCAUCAGGUUAAGCUGGGCACUCUAUCGGGACUGCCAUCGUAAGAUGUGAGGAAGGUGGGGAUGACGUCAAAUCAGCACGGCCCUUACGUCCGGGGCUACACACGUGUUACAAUGGGGCAUACAGAAGGCCGGUCGCCCGCAAGAGCGAUCAAAUCUUAAAAGUGUCCCUCAGUUCGGAUUGGGGUCUGCAACCCGACCCCAUGAAGCUGGAUUCGCUAGUAAUCGCGCAUCAGCCAUGGCGCGGUGAAUACGUUCCCGGGCCUUGUACACACCGCCCGUCAAGCCAUGAAAGCCGGGGGCGCUUGAAGUCCGUGACCGCAAGGAUCGGCCUAGAGCGAAACUGGUAAUUGGGGCU